UACGUAGGUGGCAAGCGUUGUCCGGAUUUACUGGGCGUAAAGGGCGUGCAGGCGGUUUGUUAAGUGCAGGGUGAAAGCUCCCGGCUCAACUGGGAGAGGUCCUUGCAUACUGGCAGACUUGAGGGAGGCAGAGGAAAGUGGAAUUCCCGGUGUAGUGGUGAAAUGCGUAGAUAUCGAGAGGAACACCAGUGGCGCAAGCGGCUGACUGGCCGAGACCUGACGUGAGACACGACGGCGUGGGGAGCAAACCGG
rnacentral:rRNA from 1 species